GGAGGCCCCGACGACGGCGGCGGUGGCUUCACUCCCGGCGGCGCGAUGCCCUCCCGGCUUCGCCCCCCCGGGCAAAGGGCAUCCUCGGGCGUUUGCUCAGAAGACCAACAAUUUCUAUGUGUGGUGCAUCAGGAGGAAGGAAGGUCUGGCCUCAUUCAUCAACUGGAAUCCAGCAUUUGCUGCCAUCAAUUUCUUGCUUCCUCCUGAAGAACAGAAUUUCAUUUUGGAGACGGUGAAAAUUGGAGUUCCAAUUUUCCAAUUGAAAUUGGUAACAAAAAAAUAUUUUUGAAGAUGUUAUAAAAGUUUGCACUUUUACAAUGAAGAGUGAUAGCCAUAGUUGUGUCUUCUCAAAAAAAGACAUUGGCAGUUAUUGGCUGGUUUUUUGGCUUUUUCAACAAAUAAAGAUUUCCUUCCUUGACCAAAUAAUAAAGAGAAUGGCUAGUGGAUGUAUAAUUAGCUUCCAGCUAUGGCUAGCUCAGCUCUACACAGUAGCAAUCCUGCAGUCACUAAUCUCACUGCUGUCUACUGCAGGAGGAGGAAAUGAGCUGGGCCAUGGGCUCUGAGCCUCAUCCUCCCUCUGGUCAGGGACUCUGGCAGACCCGGGGUGCAGGAUGUUGAAUUUAUUGCUCCCGUUUGCUUCAAGGCCUUUCCUAAGACUUAAUUCCCUCACCCUGCAGUAAAAGUGAUAAUAAUGAAAAGGUCUAUGAUUCACUGUAAAGCACUGUAUCUUGUUUAAGUUAAACAAGUACCUAAGUGCUCUGCUGAACUAGGGCCAAGGGUGGAUUACUGAGAGAGCUGGGCAGCCUUCCCAUCUCCAGCCAGUUCACCAAGUAGUCUCAGGAUAAUCAUGGAGUUGUUCUGGGGCUUAGUUUCCUGUGCAUGUUUAUCACAGGGUAUCUAUUCUGACUGGUAGAGAUAAGGAGAUAAUGUGGGAACAUGAAAAAACUCUUCAGAACAUCAUGAAAGCUGUAGAAAAAACAGGCUUCUGCAUUGGAUAUACAUUGCAUGUUAUGUUCUCCUUGUGACUUUUCUUUAGUUUCUGGAUUCUAAUCAGUACUUGUGAAAAAAACAUCAGGCAGCUUAUUAACAGAGAGCCUAUUUGCACUUGAAUGGCAAGAGUGUAGUCUGAACCCCACCAAAACCAAUGGAAGAAGAUCCAGUGCUGCAUGCAACCAGCAUUCCAGAGCAGCUCAAGCUGUGUUGCCUUCAAGCAGCCUCGUCAUCCUGCCAGCACUGGCCUGCUGCAGGGUGAGUCCAGCAGAUUUUGUCCAGGCUGUUGCCUUCGUGCUGUACAGCAGCCUGAAAAAUUAACUCAGCUCCCUUUGCAAUGGCUUAUUAAAAGGAAACUAGAACAAA